rnacentral:rRNA from 1 species
CAGUCGAGCGAGCGGUUUUAAGGAAGUUUUCGGAUGGAAUUAAAACUGACUGAGCGGCGGACGGGUGAGUAACGCGUGGGUAACCUGCCUCAUACAGGGGGAUAACAGUUAGAAAUGGCUGCUAAUACCGCAUAAGCACACAGCUUCGCAUGGAGCAGUGUGAAAAACUCCGGUGGUAUGAGAUGGACCCGCGUCUGAUUAGCUAGUUGGUAAGGUAACGGCUUACCAAGGCGACGAUCAGUAGCCGACCUGAGAGGGUGACCGGCCACAUUGGGACUGAGACACGGCCCAAACUCCUACGGGAGGCAGCAGUGGGGAAUAUUGCACAAUGGGGGAAACCCUGAUGCAGCGACGCCGCGUGAGUGAAGAAGUAUCUCGGUAUGUAAAGCUCUAUCAGCAGGGAAGAAAAUGACGGUACCUGACUAAGAAGCCCCGGCUAACUACGUGCCAGCAGCCGCGGUAAUACGUAGGGGGCAAGCGUUAUCCGGAUUUACUGGGUGUAAAGGGAGCGUAGACGGCGGAGCAAGUCUGAAGUGAAAGCCCGGGGCUCAACCCCGGGACUGCUUUGGAAACUGUUCUGCUAGAGUGCUGGAGAGGUAAGUGGAAUUCCUAGUGUAGCGGUGAAAUGCGUAGAUAUUAGGAGGAACACCAGUGGCGAAGGCGGCUUACUGGACAGUAACUGACGUUGAGGCUCGAAAGCGUGGGGAGCAAACAGGAUUAGAUACCCUGGUAGUC